UGGGGAAUAUUGGGCAAUGGGGGAAACCCUGACCCAGCAACGCCGCGUGAAGGAAGAAGGUCUUCGGAUCGUAAACUUCUAUCCUUGGUGAAGAUAAUGACGGUAGCCGAGAAGGAAGCCCCGGCUAACUACGUGCCAGCAGCCGCGGUAAUACGUAGGGGGCAAGCGUUGUCCGGAAUGAUUGGGCGUAAAGGGCGCGUAGGCGGCCUGGUAAGUCUGGAGUGAAAGUCCUGCUUUUAAGGUGGGAAUUGCUUUGGAUACUGCUGGGCUUGAGUGCAGGAGAGGUAAGUGGAAUUCCCGGUGUAGCGGUGAAAUGCGUAGAGAUCGGGAGGAACACCAGUGGCGAAGGCGACUUACUGGACUGUAACUGACGCUGAGGCGCGAAAGUGUGGGGAGCAAACAG
rnacentral:rRNA from 1 species